GUGGGGAAUAUUGGUCAAUGGGGGAAACCCUGAACCAGCAACGCCGCGUGAAGGAAGAAGGCUUUCGGGUUGUAAACUUCUUUGACAGGGGACGAAAAAAAUGACGGUACCCUGAAAACAAGCCACGGCUAACUACGUGCCAGCAGCCGCGGUAAUACGUAGGUGGCGAGCGUUGUCCGGAUUUACUGGGUGUAAAGGGCGUGUAGGCGGGACGGUAAGUCAGAUGUGAAAUGUAGGGGCUCAACCCCUGAACUGCAUUUGAAACUAUCGUUCUUGAGUGAUGGAGAGGCAGGCGGAAUUCCGUGUGUAGCGGUGAAAUGCGUAGAUAUACGGAGGAACACCAGUGGCGAAGGCGGCCUGCUGGACAUUAACUGACGCUGAGGCGCGAAAGCGUGGGGAGCAAACAGGAUUAGAAACCCGAGUAGUCC
rnacentral:rRNA from 1 species